UAAUAAUCUUAUUGGAGUUUCAAUCAAACAAAUCUGAGUUGCGGUGGCUAUCACCUGUUUGUGAAAACGCCUGGGAGAAAUAUAGUGAUGUUUACGGAAUGUAUGAUAAUGGUUUUUGCGCCUGAAAAAUUGUGGGAUACGAAGUCUUGAGAGCAUUAUUUGCCCGUACUUUGCUGCUUCAGGAAUGUACAUCAGCUUUGCACUUUACUCGUUGUUGUGUUCCCAAUUGCCUUACACAUGUUAGCGUACUACCUAUACAUUCAGCUUCCAGAUUAACAGAGUGGAAUAUUCAUGGAGAAAAACUGAUGGCUCAGUCAGGCAUGAUUCCUUGUUGGAGAAACACAGGUGCUGAUUGUUCUGGCUUAGACAGGGAAUUGCAAGAUAACUGGGGAUGGUUUUCUCACACAAGCAAUUUUAGAGACUUCCUCUGAGGCCAUCCUUCCAAUUGAAAAUGCUGGGUGUUUGGGUUUUGGAACGGCCACUGUGUCACUCGCCAGCAUUACCACAACAUCCGACAUGUAAUCAUUCCACACCACAGCAGACACCCUUUUGGCGCAGAGCUUAGGGGCUUCAGUUACAGCAGUGGCAAUACAAAAUUGACAAAAGUAUCCAACCACGUCACCACCAC